AACAUCAUUUUAAUCGCUCAUCUGGACCUUAUGAAACUCAUUUUAAGAGGGGGGAUCUAGUAGUCUAUUUUGUUAUAUGCUACAAUUCUCUGGUAUUUUUAGGUCUAGACAGGCGUAGAAAAUAUUUUUGAGGAUCGUUGCUGGGCACCCGGUGUAGACGUUGUGAAUGAUACAUUGGGAAUCAGCUGUAUCCACAUUG
rnacentral:snoRNA from 1 species